GACAGAGGGUGCAACCGUUGUUCGGAAUUACUGGGCGUAAAGCGCGUGUAGGCGGCCCUGCAAGUCGGAUGUGAAAUCCCACGGCUCAACCGUGGAAGUGCAUUCGAAACUGCAGGGCUAGAGUCCUGGAGAGGAAGGUGGAAUGCUUGGUGUAGAGGUGAAAUUCGUAGAUAUCAAGCGGAACACCGGUGGCGAAGGCGGCCUUCUGGACAGUGACUGACGCUGAGACGCGAAAGCGUGGGGAGCAAACAGG
rnacentral:rRNA from 1 species